GGUUUUGGUUCUCAACCAAACUAUGCAAGUUUGUGACUGACGGGACGAUUAUCCAAUAGAAAGCUGAACUGGUCAGGCAGAGACGGCCCACCAGCCAGUAGGGAGACUCGGCGAGCGCGUUGGCCCCGAGAAAGCCAGAGCCGGUUUGCAGGAAUCGCAGUGGCGGUCGGAGUCCCAGCAGAGCGCAAUCAUGUCUAUUAUGUCCUAUAACGGAGGGGCCGUCAUGGCCAUGAAGGG